UUCAGUACAAAUAAAUAUGCUGCCCAAGUUUUAUCCAGAUACGCUAGUAAGGAGUNUNACCUUUGAAGCUUUAUAGGGAUAAANCUGGGUAAGAUAUCUAUUCUGCUGGUAUUUUCUUUUUGCGUGUAGUGCUAAAGUAAACAUUAAUACACCCUAGCUUACUGUUUAAUUGGGGCGAUAAACUGUGUGAAAUUGUUAUC
rnacentral:rRNA from 1 species